UACGGAGGAUCCAAGCGUUAUCCGGAUUUACUGGGUUUAAAGGGUGCGUAGGCGGCCUGUUAAGUCAGGGGUGAAAGACGGUAGCUCAACUAUCGCAGUGCCCUUGAUACUGAUGGGCUUGAAUAAACUAGAGGUAGGCGGAAUGUGACAAGUAGCGGUGAAAUGCAUAGAUAUGUCACAGAACACCGAUUGCGAAGGCAGCUUACUAUGGUUUUAUUGACGCUGAGGCACGAAAGCGUGGGGAUCAAACAGG
rnacentral:rRNA from 1 species